AGAGUUUGAUCCUGGCUCAGGAUGAACGCUGGCGGCGUGCCUAAUACAUGCAAGUCGAGCGAGAAUCAGCAGAUCGGAGAUUCGUCAAAGUGAAGCUGAGGAAAGCGGCGGACGGGUGAGUAACGCGUAGGCAACCUGCCCUUAGCAGAGGGAUAGCCAUUGGAAACGAUGAUUAAAACCUCAUAAUGCUGUUUUUACACAUGUAGAGACAGCCAAAGAUUUAUCGGCUAAGGAUGGGCCUGCGUCUGAUUAACUAGUUGGUGAGGUAACGGCCCACCAAGGUGACGAUCAGUAGCCGACCUGAGAGGGUGAUCGGCCACAUUGGAACUGAGACACGGUCCAAACUUCUACGGAAGGCAGCAGUAAGGAAUCUUGCACAAUGGGGGAAACCCUGAUGCAGCAACGCCGCGUGAACGAUGAAGGCCUUAGGGUUGUAAAGUUCUGAUCUGUGGGAAGAAGAAGUGACGGUACCACAGGAGAAAGCCCCGGCUAAAUACGUGCCAGCAGCCGCGGUAAUACGUAUGGGGCAAGCGUUAUCCGGAAUUAUUGGGCGUAAAGAGUGCGUAGGUGGUUACCUAAGCGCAAGGUUUAAUCUUGAGGCUCAACCUCAUUCUGCCUUGCGAACUGGGCUACUUGAGUGCAGGAGGGGAAAGCGGAAUUCCCAGUGUAGCGGUGAAAUGCGUAGAUAUUGGGAAGAACACCGGUGGCGAAGGCGGCUUUCUGGACUGUAACUGACACUGAGGCACGAAAGCGUGGGGAGCAAACAGGAUUAGAUACCCUGGUAGUCCACGCCGUAAACGAUGAGCACUAGUUGUUGG
rnacentral:rRNA from 1 species